UACGAAGGGUGCAAGCGUUAAUCGGAAUUACUGGGCGUAAAGCGUGCGUAGGUGGUCUUUUAAGUCCGUUGUGAAAGCCCUGGGCUCAACCUGGGAAUGGCAGUGGAUACUGGAAGGCUGGAGUACGGUAGAGGAGGGCGGAAUUCCAGGUGUAGCGGUGAAAUGCGUAGAUAUCUGGAGGAACACCGGUGGCGAAGGCGGCAUCCUGGACCGAGAUUGACGCUGAUGCGCGAAAGCCAGGGGAGCAAACGGG
rnacentral:rRNA from 1 species